rnacentral:rRNA from 1 species
CCUASSGGAGGCAGCAGUGAGGAAUAUUGGUCAAUGGGCGSAAGCCUGAACCAGCCAUGCCGCGUGCAGGAAGAMGGCCCUAUGGGUUGUAAACUGCUUUUCCACGGGAAGAAUACCUCUCCUCGUGAGRGGAGUUGMCGGUACCCUGGGAAUAAGCAUCGGCUAACUCCGUGCCAGCAGCCGCGGUAAU